UGCCUCUUUGGGGCAAUUUCAGGACAUUUUGGGUCAGUUUGGGUCAGUUUAGGGCCACUUUGGGGCCAUUUCAGGGCAUUUUGGGUCAGUUUAGGGCCACUUUGGGGCCAUUUCAGGGCAUUUUGGGUCAGUUUAGGGCCACUUUGGUGCCAUUUCAGGGCAUUUUGGGGCAUUUUAGGGCCAUUUUGGGGCAAUUUUAGGGCCAUUUCAGGGCAUUUUGAGUCGGUUUGGGUCAGUUUAGUGCCACUUUGGGGCCAUUUCAGGGCAUUUUGGGUCAUUUGGGGGCAGUUCAGGGCCACUUUGGGGUCAUUUCAGGGCAUUUGGGGGCAGUUCAGGGCCACUUUGGGGUCAUUUCAGGGCAUUUGGGGUCAGUUUGGGGCCAUUUCAGGGCAUUUUGGGGUUCCCCCCGGGGUCCCUCCUCACCUCGUCCCAGCGGAUGAAUUUGCUGCCCUGCACCAACAUGGCGGGGACCCGCGGCGGCUCCAACGGGAGCGGAACCGGGACCGGGCGCGGCGCCGCCAUGAUUGCACCGGGGCGGGCCGGGGCGGGGGGGCGGGGCUACAGAGGAGAGCCGCGAGGCGAUUGGUGGAACCGUGGGAAAGGGGGAGGGGCCGGCGGAGAGAAGCGCGCGCCGAUUGGUGGAAAGGCGGAAAGGGGCGGGGAUGAGAGCGGCGCGCAUGCGCGGACGUGCAUAGAGGGCUGAGUGGGCGUGGCCUGGUGCGGAAAUGGGCGUGUCCAAAGUGAAUGGCGGUAUGAAGGGAGGGGGCGGGGUCUCGUUUUGUAAAAGGGCGUGGCCUCGUGGAAAGGGGGCGUGGCCUCGAGGUAUCCGGAAAUGGGUGUGGUCCCAAAGAUUUGAAUGGAGGGAUUUGAAUGGAGGGAGUCGGGGGUGAAUGGGCGCUGUCUUAUGGAAGGAACCGUGGUCUGAGCCACGUGCGGCCGUUAUAAACCGAGAGUGGUCCCAGCUCGCUGCAUCGCCGCUUUAAGUGAGCGAGGUCUCCUCCGAAGGGGCGUGGUCUCAAGGAGGGCGGCGUGGUUUCAUUGGGGUCGAAAGUCCAAUAGGUGGGUCCCACCCAACUCAUCGCCCCUUUAAAAAGACGCGGUCUAACAGCUGUCCCGAAGGUCUCAAACGAAAGGGUGGACCCCACCACGCCCAUCGCCGCUUUAAGGAGGCGUGUUUUAACUGCAGAGGGCGUGGCCUCACGUAAACUGGGCGUGGCCACACAGAAUGAGCUUUUUCUCAGCUCGGCGUUGCCGCUUUAAAGCCUCUCGGAUGGUCCCACAACCUGCAUCGCCGCUUUAAGGGGGCGUGGUCUCACCGGGUGGAGGCGUGGCUCCGUGCUGGCAGUUUCAGCUCUUUACCUCCGCAUCGCCGCUUUAAGAGAGCAUCGGCCCCAUCAAUCACAUCGCCGCUUUAACCGAGCGAGGCACGCCGCCUUUUCUCCACACAAAGCCGUUUCCGUUUCCGGAAGGGCGGCUUCCGGUUCCGGUCCGGCAGGGCAGGGCAUGGCGGCGCCGUGCGGCCACCCGGGCCCUCCAGCGCCGCCGCCUCCCCCCGCCGGGCCGGGGCCGAGCUCAGCGCCGGGACCGCGGGUUUGCUUCGCAACGGGACCGGAGGGAGCGGACGGAGCGGCGGUCGGGGCGGAAGAGGCGGCGGGAGCGCGGAGAG
ensembl:lncRNA